rnacentral:rRNA from 1 species
UACGUAGGGUGCAAGCGUUAAUCGGAAUUACUGGGCGUAAAGCGUGCGCAGGCGGUUCGGAAAGAAAGAUGUGAAAUCCCAGAGCUUAACCUUGGAACUGCAUUUUUAACUACCGAGCUAGAGUGUGUCAGAGGGGGGUAGAAUUCCACGUGUAGCAGUGAAAUGCGUAGAUAUGUGGAGGAAUACCGAUGGCGAAGGCAGCCCCCUGGGAUAACACUGACGCUCAUGCACGAAAGCGUGGGGAGCAAACAGG